rnacentral:rRNA from 1 species
GAUGAACGCUGGCGGCGUGCCUAAUACAUGCAAGUCGAGCGAACAGAUGAGGAGCUUGCUCCUCUGACGUUAGCGGCGGACGGGUGAGUAACACGUGAUAACCUACCUAUAAGACUGGGAUAACUUCGGGAAACCGGAGCUAAUACCGGAUAAUAUAUUGAACCGCAUGGUUCAAUAGUGAAAGACGGUUUUGCUGUCACUUAUAGAUGGAUCCGCGCCGCAUUAGCUAGUUGGUAAGGUAACGGCUUACCAAGGCAACGAUGCGUAGCCGACCUGAGAGGGUGAUCGGCCACACUGGAACUGAGACACGGUCCAGACUCCUACGGGAGGCAGCAGUAGGGAAUCUUCCGCAAUGGGCGAAAGCUUGACGGAGCAACGCCGCGUGAGUGAUGAAGGUCUUCGGAUCGUAAAACUCUGUUAUUAGGGAAGAACAAAUGUGUAAGUAACUAUGCACGUCUUGACGGUACCUAAUCAGAAAGCCACGGCUAACUACGUG